rnacentral:lncRNA from 1 species
CUUCCGCCCCACGUGCGCUUCCGCCACCGGUGCGGAAGAGUGUCAGGGUAGUGGAGCGGGGUGUAGGCGAGAAGCUCCCGAGUUACGGAUAGGCCGAGGCCUCCUAGUAGUCCUGCCUCCUUCUCACACCCGGGAAGAGGGCGGUUCAUAUCUCACCUCGCCCGGAGCCGACUGGUUUAGCCCCGCCUUUUCCGUCCCGUUAUAUAAAGCGGUUGGCUACCCUGCUGUCAGUCAGAUGCAACCAGAGCGGCUUGAGAAGGGCUCUGGGUUUGUUUUGCUGGGCGGCUUUAUGUCAGCUUGGCUGUCAGCUGCAAGAGUGCUUUGAACUUUUAGGUGGAAAAUGCCGGAAAGUAACUUCACAGAGUGGAGCGACAUUAGCGCGGUGCAGGUGGCCGCCGGGUACCCAAGCGUUGUCUUGGAGACAGGAGAUCGUGGGGCGGUGUGGGUGGAGGCUUACAGGGGUUUCCUUUUCGCCUCCCCUAGGUAGGGGAGGAAGCGGCGACGUGGGUGGGACCGGGAGUUUAUUCCCUGUUCUCUUGCCCGCAGGAUGUGGAAUUCGUGUUUGGCGUCCUAGGCAUCCCCCUUGUAUCCCAGGAGCUGGACAUCAGUUGUCAUCUGUGCAGAAGAAUUGGAAAAUAAUGAUCUUCUGGUGCUGUGACUUUGCUAGGAGACGUAGAUGCUGUUACUAAACAGGUAGGAACUUUUGCCUAGGUUUUUAGUUUGUGUGAACUGGUCUUUUAAGGAAUGGUUCUUGAAAUAUUAGUGUCUAUUUUAAACCAAAUUUGUAAAGGGAAACUAUUCAAAAAUAUAACUUUCGAACUUGGUCUUUUUAUACUUAGCUCAUAUUUCUGUAAAUUAAGCAUUUUUUGGAAGGCAUUUGAAAAUUUAAAGUCAUUCAGAAUGCAAAUGGAUUUACUAAGUAGGAUCCCAAUGUCUGAAAAAUUAUAAUGUAACUUUCAAAAGGAGUUUUGGGUUACAGCCCAAAAAAUAGCUUUACAGGAUGGAAAUUUUUUUAGAUUUUUAUUUUAUUUUAUUUUUCUAAGUUAAUAAAGAGCUUUUUACUCUCCCA